rnacentral:rRNA from 1 species
UGGGGAAUAUUGCACAAUGGGCGCAAGCCUGAUGCAGCGACGCCGCGUGGGGGAUGACGGCCUUCGGGUUGUAAACUCCUUUCGCUAGGGACGAAGCUUUUUGUGAAGGUACCUAGAUAAGAAGCACCGGCUAACUACGUGCCAGCAGCCGCGGUAAUACGUAGGGUGCGAGCGUUGUCCGGAAUUACUGGGCGUAAAGGGCUCGUAGGUGGUUUGUCGCGUCGUCUGUGAAAUUCCGGGGCUUAACUCCGGGCGUGCAGGCGAUACGGGCAUAACUUGAGUACUGUAGGGGUAACUGGAAUUCCUGGUGUAGCGGUGAAAUGCGCAGAUAUCAGGAGGAACACCGAUGGCGAAGGCAGGUUACUGGGCAGUUACUGACGCUGAGGAGCGAAAGCAUGGGUAGCGAACAGG